GACGAACGCUGGCGGCGUGCUUAACACAUGCAAGUCGAACGGUGAAGGGGCCUGCUUUUGUGGGCCCUGGAUGAGUGGCGAACGGGUGAGUAACACGUGAGUAACCUGCCCCCUUCUUCUGGAUAACCGCAUGAAAGUGUGGCUAAUACGGGAUAUUCUGGGUCUGUCGCAUGAUGGGUCUGGGAAAGAUUGCGCCUUUGGGUGUUUUUGGUGGGGGAUGGGCUCGCGGCCUAUCAGCUUGUUGGUGGGGUGAUGGCCUACCAAGGCGGUGACGGGUAGCCGGCCUGAGAGGGUGGACGGUCACACUGGGACUGAGACACGGCCCAGACUCCUACGGGAGGCAGCAGUGGGGAAUAUUGCACAAUGGGCGCAAGCCUGAUGCAGCGACGCCGCGUGAGGGAUGGAGGCCUUCGGGGUGUAAACCUCUUUCGCCAGUGAAGCAGGCCUGCUCCUUGUGGGUGGGUUGACGGUAGCUGGAGAAGAAGCGCCGGCUAACUACGUG
rnacentral:rRNA from 1 species